GUUCCCAGUGGCUUCCACUUUGUUAUAAUGACACUAACAGUUGACUGUAGAAUAUUUAGCAGGAAGGAAAUUUCAUGACUGGACUUGUUGCACAGGUGGCAUCCUAUCACGGUACUAUGCUGGAAUUCACUGAGCUCCUGAGAGCGACCCAUUUCACAAAUGUUUGUAGAAGCAACCUGUAUGCCUAGGUGCUUCAUUUUAUACUCCUGUGGCCAUGGAAGUGAUUGGAACACCUGAAUUCAAUGAUUUAGAUGGGUGAGUAAAUAGUUUUGGCAAUAUAGUCAGUCUCUGUGUAAGCUUUCAAUCAGCCAAGUUCAAGUGCUUACCAUGACUGGUAGGCACUGAAUUGAACGCAACUGGACUUUUUUCCUAUGUUGUUUUUCACUUUUCAUCUGAGAAGCUCAUACAGUUCUAAUGGGGAGUACUAGGUAUAUAGUGAGGUGGUCCAUGUGAGCCAGGUGACCUUGAUAACUCAGAUGAUGACAGAGAUUGUCCAACUCUUCAGAACACCUGGUUCUCCCAUCAGAUUCUCAGGUGAAAGCUGAAAUGUUUUUAUGAAUGUAGAAAGAAGUCCAGUUGGCUUGGACUCAUGUCGAGCUCAUUUCUUCACACAGUGGGCUAAACUGAAGCCAAGCUGCUUGAAAGAGAUCGAAUUCCCAGGUCAUCACCAAAUUUUGCCCUGAUGAUGCAAACGAACACACACAGACUUAAGCACACUGCAAACAUACUGAGAAAGAGCAUGGAGGGCACAGAUUUAAAAAUAAAGCAGUGGUGUAACUAAUAGCAGU
rnacentral:lncRNA from 1 species